rnacentral:lncRNA from 1 species
UUGCGUGUGUGUGUGGUUACGAGUUUUGGUUGCUUUUAGAACAAAUGUUGUGCCAGAUAGCUUGGUAUUGGCUAAAAUCCCUUCAGUGCUUUUAUUCUAGUUAGUACUCUGCAUUUCUACAGUACGCAGAUCACAUUGGAUUUCCUCUUGUACUAAUGCUUUCUUGUCACAUGCUCUUCGCGACUAGCAACUCCAUUUAUGUGUUAUAUGCCUUGUCAUCUUUUGAUAUAUUAUAACUUCUGCACUUGGUAGAUUUUGAAGGAAGAAUAAUAAGUGUCGAAUCUGAUUUUGAAGGAAGAAUAAUAAGUGCCUUGUCAUCUUUUUCUUGCAUUGUGACUGGGUUUCCCCCUUUUUUUUCUUCAGUGAUAUGAAGAAUCUGAUUGGUGAGGUGAACUGUCGAAUAUGCCAGGAAAGCUUCAACACCACCGUAAAUGGUAUAUCCAAAUUAUACAUAGAACUGCAUAUUGUACUCCUAAAGUAGAUGCCAAUACUGAUUGAUUCUCAGCUAGAAAAUUCCGCACCAGACAUCUCAUUGUUUUUGUUUCUUCUGAACCGAAUGCGUACAACUCUAGGAGCAGGGUAUAGCUUAUCUAUAAAUUUCCUACAGCCAUGCCUAUCUCAUUUACUCUUGGGGGUUUAGUCAUUCUAAUCAACUAGGUCAUAAUGGAGCAGAGCCGAAGUAGUAAUCAUGUACAAUUAUAUAGGUACUUGGUUGCCAUUAAAUCACACAACCAUGCUUGUAAGAUAGGCAAUGUGGCUCCCUAUUUUAUCAUGUUCGCACGGGCUAUUUUAAAAAAAAAAAAUUAGACUGUAGCGAACAUUUGUUAGUUAGUUGGUAUUAAAAUAUAGUUAUACAAAAAGAAGAAAAUUUGUGUCCAAACUUACUGAUAAAAUAAUUAUAAUAGAAUACCUAGAUUUGCAAUAAUUAUCUGCUGCCAUUAUUAUUAUUAUAUGUGGCUCGUUGUCUACAGGCUUAUCUAUGCUUUAGUAUUUGAUGCUCUAUGAUGUUAGUUUCUUUGGUCUGCUUUCUGAGCCUUGCCAUCAUUGUCUUCUUGCAGGCAGCAAUGGUAGGAGUGGCAGAUUGUGUAGAGGAAGAGGAUGAGAAGAAACUUGUGCUUCUCAUCCAAUCUUCGUAGAACUCUCUUGAUGUGCAAUUGUGCAGUUGUUGGGUCCUCUUUCUCUUCACUUGCACUUGCAGAAAUAUUCUUUUGUGCACUUGUAAAAUUAUUUUGAUGUGCACUUGUUAGGCCUUUAACCUUGAUGUGUAGAGGAGUCGUGGAUGAUGUAUUGUAAGUCAUGUGAUGUGCUACUGAAAUAAAAUAUACAGUUUAUUUGCAAUCUUUUAUUCUGUUGU